rnacentral:rRNA from 1 species
CUGCUGCCUUCCGUAGGAGUCUGGUCCGUGUCUCAGUACCAGUGUGGGGGACCUUCCUCUCAGAACCCCUACGCAUCGUCGCCACGGUGGGCCGUUACCCCGCCGUCUAGCUAAUGCGCCGCAUGCCCAUCCUCUUCCGAUGAAUCCUUCCUCGAUCUCGGAUGCCCGAAACCGAUAUACGCGGGAUUAGCCUCCCUUUCGGAAGGUUGUCCCCCUGAAGAGGGCAGGUUGCAUACGUGUUACUCACCCGUGCGCCGGUCGCCGG